rnacentral:ncRNA from 1 species
CGGUUGGGAGGGCUGCGGCUCGCGGUCCACUGAGGUCAACACCUCACCCGGCUG